GAGAGCCUGUGCGCAGCAACGAAGACCCAAUGCAGCCAAAAAUAAAUAAAUAAAAUAAAUUUAAAUCACAGAUCAAUAGGUUUUUUUUUAAAAAAAGAUUAUUGUAAGCAUCUUUUAAAGCUUUAUCUAAACUCUAGAAAUUGUAUAUUGUCUACAGCACCAAGUAAUUAGUGUUAGCCUAAUUCAACUUAACUUCUUCCAAUGCAGGGGGUGUGGGUUCAAUCCCUGGUUGGGAAGCUAAGAUCCCACAUGCCUCGUGGCCAAAAAACCAAAACAGAAAACAGAAGCAAUAUUGUAACAAAUUCAAUAGAGAAAGACCUUAAGAAUGGUUCACAUCAAAAAAAAUCUUUAAAAAAAAAAAAGAAAUUUCCUGUUAGGAUGAUCCUAUUUCAAAUGUUCUUUCUUACCUUUUUGAAACUCUAUAGCAUUGAACCUUUUUUUGCUCUGAACAUCCAAACAUUGUCCUGUGAUGGUACAGCCCUGGACAAUUCAGCAAUUCAGGCCUUCCAGGCCUGGCAGACACUUUUUAAUGCCUGGCCAAUAGGAAGAAACCAUCUGGGCAAACAGAUUUAGGAGAACAAGACCAGGCUUCUAAUGCUUUUAUUGCUGGCUGACUGUGUUAUCUAGGGCCAGACACUUAAAUUAAUCUCAGGGUCCUCAUCUGUGAAAUAAUGAGAUCUACCUACCCUACCUAUUUUCCAAAGUACUUAUGGCUCACAUAAAAAGCCCAUGCAUAGCAACGAAGACCCAAUGCAGCCAAAAAUAAAUAAAAUAAAUUUAAAUCACAGAUCAAUAGGUUUUUUUAAAAAAAAGAAUAUUGUCAGCAUCUUUUAAAGCUUUAUCUAAACUCUAGAAAUUGUAUAUUGUCUAUAGCACCAAGUAAUCAGUGUUAGCCUAAUUCAACUUAAAUUCAACAAUUAAAACAGUUAAACAGUAAGAGUAUGUAUUCAUAUUUGUUUAUUAUUGCAUAAAGAGGUUACCCAGAUUUUGAAGCAAGGUCAGUGGAAACUGGUCAUACUGAAGAACAGGUGGGGACAAUGCUUUUCACUAAAUACCUUUCUAAAAACUUUUUAUAAUCAUGUGAACAUAUUACCUGUUUUAAAAUUAAGCUUACCAUUUACAAUCAGCAUGAGAUGAAGAUGCAGAACUAUAAAUUCAUGAUAUAAUAAAUGGACUGAAAUUGCUCGUGA